rnacentral:rRNA from 1 species
CGCGCAGGUGGUUUCUUAAGUCUAAUGUGAAAGCCCACGGCUCAACCGUGGAGGGUCAUUGGAAACUGGGAGACUUGAGUGCAGAAGAGGAUAGUGGAAUUCCAAGUGUAGCGGUGAAAUGCGUAGAGAUUUGGAGGAACACCAGUGGCGAAGGCGACUGUCUGGUCUGUAACUGACACUGAGGCGCGAAAGCGUGGGAGCAAACA